ACCAUGGAUAGCUCAGUUGGUAGAGCGUGAGAUUGUUAAUCUCAGUGUCAUGGGUUUGAGCCCCGCAUUGGGCA